rnacentral:lncRNA from 1 species
AGAAGUGAGUUUCCCAUAGACACAGUGUUGGAACCAGGAUCUGAACUUCAACUUUGGUCUCCUUUUCAGAGCACCAGCUACUUUCACCCAGGACAGGAACCUAUCUGGAUGAUGGACCCAGGACCAUAAAUUUGUGUUGGAAUGGUCCUUGGAAGUCAUCUACUUCAACAUCAACAUUUUACAAAAGUGGACACUGAGACCAAGAGAAGUUGGGUGACUUGUCUAAGGUCACACAGAUACUUGGGAGGAGUGAAACACCUCUUUUCUUGAAUUCAGGUAAUUCCAUUUGAUUGCUCUCCUCCCACUCCCCAAUUUGGAAAGUUCCUAAUCUUUUCUCCAGUUAGAAUAUUGUGUCAUUUCCUUGUAAUUAAUUAAGGAUUCAUUUUCUUAGAUGUAUAAAAGUCUGUCUUCUGUGGAAGAGGCAUGAAGAGAGGAAGGUUUUGAAGGAUAAGGCAAGAUGCAAGAGAGUAACCUGGGGACAUGUUUUGUCAAUCAAGACGAAGAUUCUAAAACAGAAUGUUCUCAGGAGUUGCAGUUGAGC